UACAUAUGCCAGAAUCAUAUGGACCGCAGACUGGCCCUGGUGAUUCCGUUAAGAAAAAAGAGGAAAAAUCAGUGCUUGUGCUCAUUGGUCAUUGGACAAAGGGUGUAUGCCAGAAUUUUUUCAAGAACAGUCUGAAUCUGACAUGGAAAAAAUGAAGAAAAACAGCCUUCCUGUUUAUAAAUCUACAUUCUGACAAAGGGUAAGAAAGAAAUUCAGGAGUUCUUAAAUUGCCCUUGGAGUUCUUGGAUUGCAUCAAACUGCUAAAAGACCUUAACAAAAACAGCGUCUUGAAAAUAAAAAUGAAAAUAUUCAGUGAAAAAAAAUGAUGAAAGAGCCACUAAAAAUCUUCAAGCCUUUGAGCUGAAAUCUGGAAGUCAAUCUGUGGACUUUACUAGUAAGUCAUAAUUACUAAGUCAUCAUUUGUGUAUAAUAAAUACACUACACUGUAAACACUUGUUAAAAUGUGUAUAAUUUUUAGAUAUAAUUUGUAUCUCAUAGACUUCAAUAGUUUCAUGUAAUUUAAGUAAUAAUGAAAAUUUCCUGUUGUCUAGCUAGAUUAGAAACUAUUAUUGUCCAAUUUUGGAUAUUGUGAAAUAAUUCAUCUAGUAUG